UACGUAGGGCGCAAGCGUUAUCCGGAAUUAUUGGGCGUAAAGAGCUCGUAGGCGGUUUGUCGCGUCUGCCGUGAAAGUCCGGGGCUCAACUCCGGAUCUGCGGUGGGUACGGGCAGACUAGAGUGAUGUAGGGGAGACUGGAAUUCCUGGUGUAGCGGUGAAAUGCGUAGAGAUCCGGAGGAACACCGACGGCGUAGGCAGCGCCCUGGACGACACCUGACGCUGAGGCACGAAAGCUGGGGGAGCGAACAGG
rnacentral:rRNA from 1 species